GUGCAUGCUGGCGGUAGGCCUAACACCUGCAAGUCGCACGGCAGCACAGUAAGAGCUUGCUCUUACGGGUGGCGAGUGGCGGACGGGUGAGGAAUACAUCGGAAUCUACUUUUUCGUGGGGGAUAACGUAGGGAAACUUACGCUAAUACCGCAUACGACCUACGGGUGAAAGCAGGGGAUCUUCGGACCUUGCGCGAUUGAAUGAGCCGAUGUCGGAUUAGCUAGUUGGCGGGGUAAAGGCCCACCAAGGCGACGAUCCGUAGCUGGUCUGAGAGGAUGAUCAGCCACACUGGAACUGAGACACGGUCCAGACUCCUACGGGAGGCAGCAGUGGGGAAUAUUGGACAAUGGGCGCAAGCCUGAUCCAGCCAUACCGCGUGGGUGAAGAAGGCCUUCGGGUUGUAAAGCCCUUUUGUUGGGAAAGAAAAGCAGCAGGUUAAUACCCCGCUGUUCUGACGGUACCCAAAGAAUAAGCACCGGCUAACUUCGUG
rnacentral:rRNA from 1 species